AUUGAACGCUGGCGGCAGGCCUAACACAUGCAAGUCGAGCGAGCGGCGGACGGGUGGGUAAUGUAUGGGGACUGCCCGAUAGAGGGGGAUGACUACAGGCAACGGUGGAUAAUACCGCAUACUGUAGGAUACCACCGAGGGGCUUAGCUAGUAGGUAAGGUAAUGGCUUACCUAGGCGACGAUCCCUAGCUGGGCUGAGAUGAGGAUCAGCCACACUGGGACGGAGACACGGCCCAGACUCCUACGGAGGCAGCAGUGGGGAAUGUUGCACAAGGGGCGCAGGCCUGACACAGCCAUGCCGAGUGUAGGAAGAAGGCCCUAGGGUUGUAAAGUACUUUCAGUCGGGAGGCGUUACCGAAAGAAGAAGCACCGGCUAACUCCGUGCCAGCAGCCGCGGUAAUUC
rnacentral:rRNA from 1 species